rnacentral:rRNA from 1 species
AGUGAACGCUGGCGGUAGGCCUAACACAUGCCAGUCGAACGGCAGCACAGUAAGAGCUUGCUCUUACGGGUGGCGAGUGGCGGACGGGUGAGGAAUACAUCGGAAUCUACUUUUUCGUGGGGGAUAACGUAGGGAAACUUACGCUAAUACCGCAUACGACCUACGGGUGAAAGCAGGGGAUCUUCGGACCUUGCGCGAUUGAAUGAGCCGAUGUCGGAUUAGCUAGUUGGCGGGGUAAAGGCCCACCAAGGCGACGAUCCGUAGCUGGUCUGAGAGGAUGAUCAGCCACACUGGAACUGAGACACGGUCCAGACUCCUACGGGAGGCAGCAGUGGGGAAUAUUGGACAAUGGGCGCAAGCCUGAUCCAGCCAUACCGCGUGGGUGAAGAAGGCCUUCGGGUUGUAAAGCCCUUUUGUUGGGAAAGAAAAGCAGCAGGUUAAUACCCCGCUGUUCUGACGGUACGCAAAGAAUAAGCACCGGCUAACUUCGUG